ACGAACGCUGGCGGCGUGCUUAACCCAUGCCAGUCGAACGGAAAGGCCCUGCUUUUGUGGGGUGCUCGAGUGGCGAACGGGUGAGUAACACGUGAGUAACCUGCCCUUGACUUUGGGAUAACUUCAGGAAACUGGGGCUAAUACCGGAUAGGAGCUCCUGCUGCAUGGUGGGGGUUGGAAAGUUUCGGCGGUUGGGGAUGGACUCGCGGCUUAUCAGCUUGUUGGUGGGGUAGUGGCUUACCAAGGCUUUGACGGGUAGCCGGCCUGAGAGGGUGACCGGCCACAUUGGGACUGAGAUACGGCCCAGACUCCUACGGGAGGCAGUAGUGGGGAAUAUUGCACAAUGGGCGGAAGCCUGAUGCAGCAACGCCGCGUGCGGGAUGACGGCCUUCGGGUUGUAAACCGCUUUCGCCUGUGACGAAGCGUGAGUGACGGUAAUGGGUAAAGAAGCACCGGCUAACUACGUG
rnacentral:rRNA from 1 species